GUGGAUAGUUGUUGCCGGGAGACAGUAGCGGUCCACCUAACUGUCCUCCAUGUUACGUCGCAUUUGGAGAUAGUUGCUUCUCGGCUGCCAUGACGACAGUUAGCGAAACAAGCUACUGCUACGGCUUACAUCUCAGGGGGAGGACAAAGACAAGGAGAAGGAAUUGAAGAUGAACAAACUGAGAGGAGGUGUAAUCAGCAACACUUUAUUAGACGCCUAAGGCCACAGUUUUGGAUGAGGUGGGAGAUGCUGCACAGGUGGGAUGAAUAAAGGGCUCUGUGGCUGCAGUCUCAUGAUGUCAGGCACUGGAGGGAGAGAACAAGCGUCAUCAUCACAUGCACGCAGCAGUUACGUAAGCACGGCAUGACAGUGGUUCCUGUAAUUACAUAGACAAGCACACCGCACAACACAUGCACUUUUCUGACAUAUAUGAUGGUAUCAUUGAUGACAUACUCAUGCUAAAAAGUACACUUUGCUGCAAAAUUUGUGAUAGGUAGUUAUAUAUCAAAUGUCUCUUUGAUGCCCGGCUGCAGUCAAAUUAAACUGUGCUUGUCUUAAUUUCCUGCUUCACCACUCACUGAUGUUAGACGUUUUUCAAUCUCUUUAUCUUAAAUCAGGAGAAUUAUCUGCUUUUCCUCUUCAGGCGAGCUGCUGGGUUGCUCUAAUUAUAGAAUUAAAUUGGAAUCUCCCAGCAGGUUCUCAUCGACUGGGCCAUAUGGAUUUACACUGACGUGGUUGCUGAAAUGCUGACUGCAGAGCAGCUACAGACUGUCAGGAUGCCUUCAACACAACCAAAAGUAAGCAAAGUUAAACCGAACUUCCCUCCGACUGUGGGCUGACACUGCUCAGUCAACACAGCCUCAGGUUUACAUGGAGAUUAAGCAGGAUCAUGUUCCUAAUCUGACAGAGACGCGCCCCCCCAAUGCACAACAUGAAAAACGUACACUUGCUACAGGAGCGCAGACAAAAGCUUUAAAUGCAGCACACGUCAUUGUGUCAGCUCUCCAAACAAAAACACCUCCAGGGUCAGGACCAUAUUAAAUUAGAGUGCCAUUAUCAGCCAUUUAAUUCUGUUAAUGAAAGAGUUGCAGGCUUUGUUGAUGGACCCUGGAGACUGUGGCU